ACAUAUGAAGCUCCCCCAAGAGAAGAACCAACUAAGAAAGUGUCUGCAGCCAAACAGGAAGGGGAUGCAGAGGGCAUAUACCUUGAUUGUCCAGGCCCAAGGCGCUUCUCUGAGCCAAACAACAGUCUGCAUUCAAAGCCCUGCAUGUUGCUCACAAAGCCUGGAGCUGAAGACAGUGAUGAUGAAGGGACAAUCAACUUCCAAGCCAUUGAGGAAGCACUGAAAAAGGGAAUGAUGAAAACUCCUCAGCCACAUUCUCUUCCACAAUCAGCUCGCCGGGUGUCCAUGCCUGUCUUGGCCUCCUCCAGACAUCAAGCAAAAGAGG